UACGGAGGGUGCGAGCGUUGUCCGGAAUCAUUGGGCGUAAAGGGCGCGUAGGUGGCUCGGUCAGCGUGCGGUGAAAGCUCGGGGCUCAACCCCGAGUCGGCCGUGCGAACUGCUGGGCUUGAGCACUGUAGAGGCAGGCGGAAUUCCGGGUGUAGCGGUGGAAUGCGUAGAGAUCCGGAAGAACACCGGUGGCGAAGGCGGUCUGCUGGGGUAAUGCUGACACUGAUGCGCGACAGCGUGGGGAGCAAACAGG
rnacentral:rRNA from 1 species